rnacentral:rRNA from 1 species
CCUACGGGCGGCAGCAGUGGGGAAUAUUGCACAAUGGUGGAAACCCUGAUGCAGCGACGCCGCGUGAGUGAAGAAGUAUUUCGGUAUGUAAAGCUCUAUCAGCAGGGAAGAAAAUAACGGUGCCUCAUUACGAAGCAUCUGCUAACUACUUGCCAGCAGCCGCGGUAAUACGUAGGGGUCAAGCGUGAUCCGGCAUUAUUGGGGGGAAAGGGAGAGUAGUCGGCAGAACAAGUCUUGAGUGAAAUGCCGGGGGUUAACCCCGGAACUGCUUUGGAAACUGUUGAACUAGAGUGCAGGAGAGGUAAGUGGAAUUCCUAGUGUAGCGGUGAAAUGCGUAGAUAUUAGGAGGAACACCAGUGGCGAAGGCGGCUUACUGGACUGUAACUGACGUUGAGGCUCGAAAGCGUGGGGAGCAAACAGGAUUAGAUACCCUAGUAGUC